rnacentral:SRP_RNA from 1 species
CAACGAUUUUUCGGAUAACAAUUCAAAUGAAGAAAU